rnacentral:rRNA from 1 species
AAAUUGAAGAGUUUGAUCAUGGCUCAGAUUGAACGCUGGCGGCAGGCCUAACACAUGCAAGUCGAACGGUAACAGGAAGCAGCUUGCUGCUUUGCUGACGAGUGGCGGACGGGUGAGUAAUGUCUGGGAAACUGCCUGAUGGAGGGGGAUAACUACUGGAAACGGUAGCUAAUACCGCAUAAUGUCGCAAGACCAAAGAGGGGGACCUUCGGGCCUCUUGCCAUCGGAUGUGCCCAGAUGGGAUUAGCUUGUUGGUGGGGUAACGGCUCACCAAGGCGACGAUCCCUAGCUGGUCUGAGAGGAUGACCAGCCACACUGGAACUGAGACACGGUCCAGACUCCUACGGGAGGCAGCAGUGGGGAAUAUUGCACAAUGGGCGCAAGCCUGAUGCAGCCAUGCCGCGUGUAUGAAGAAGGCCUUCGGGUUGUAAAGUACUUUCAGCGGGGAGGAAGGGAGUAAAGUUAAUACCUUUGCUCAUUGACGUUACCCGCAGAAGAAGCACCGGCUAACUCCGUGCCAGCAGCCGCGGUAAUACGGAGGGUGCAAGCGUUAAUCGGAAUUACUGGGCGUAAAGCGCACGCAGGCGGUUUGUUAAGUCAGAUGUGAAAUCCCCGGGCUCAACCUGGGAACUGCAUCUGAUACUGGCAAGCUUGAGUCUCGUAGAGGGGGGUAGAAUUCCAGGUGUAGCGGUGAAAUGCGUAGAGAUCUGGAGGAAUACCGGUGGCGAAGGCGGCCCCCUGGACGAAGACUGACGCUCAGGUGCGAAAGCGUGGGGAGCAAACAGGAUUAGAUACCCUGGUAGUCCACGCCGUAAACGAUGUCGACUUGGAGGUUGUGCCCUUGAGGCGUGGCUUCCGGAGCUAACGCGUUAAGUCGACCGCCUGGGGAGUACGGCCGCAAGGUUAAAACUCAAAUGAAUUGACGGGGGCCCGCACAAGCGGUGGAGCAUGUGGUUUAAUUCGAUGCAACGCGAAGAACCUUACCUGGUCUUGACAUCCACGGAAGUUUUCAGAGAUGAGAAUGUGCCUUCGGGAACCGUGAGACAGGUGCUGCAUGGCUGUCGUCAGCUCGUGUUGUGAAAUGUUGGGUUAAGUCCCGCAACGAGCGCAACCCUUAUCCUUUGUUGCCAGCGGUCCGGCCGGGAACUCAAAGGAGACUGCCAGUGAUAAACUGGAGGAAGGUGGGGAUGACGUCAAGUCAUCAUGGCCCUUACGACCAGGGCUACACACGUGCUACAAUGGCGCAUACAAAGAGAAGCGACCUCGCGAGAGCAAGCGGACCUCAUAAAGUGCGUCGUAGUCCGGAUUGGAGUCUGCAACUCGACUCCAUGAAGUCGGAAUCGCUAGUAAUCGUGGAUCAGAAUGCCACGGUGAAUACGUUCCCGGGCCUUGUACACACCGCCCGUCACACCAUGGGAGUGGGUUGCAAAAGAAGUAGGUAGCUUAACCUUCGGGAGGGCGCUUACCACUUUGUGAUUCAUGACUGGGGUGAAGUCGUAACAAGGUAACCGUAGGGGAACCUGCGGUUGGAUCACCUCCUUA